UACGUAGGCAGCGAGCGUUGUUCGGAAUUACUGGGCGUAAAGAGUGUGUAGGCGGUGCUCUAAGUUCGGUGUGAAAUCUCCCGGCUUAACUGGGAGGGUGCGCCGGAAACUGGAGUGCUCGAGCGUGGGAGAGGAAAGCGGAAUUCCUGGUGUAGCGGUGAAAUGCGUAGAUAUCAGGGGGAACACCUGCGGUGUAGACGGCUUUCUGGACCAUUGCUGACGCUGAGACACGAAAGCGUGGGUAGCAAACAGG
rnacentral:rRNA from 1 species